rnacentral:rRNA from 1 species
UGGCGGCAGGCUUAACACAUGCAAGUCGAACGGUUGUAGCAAUACAGCAGUGGCGCACGGGUGAGUAACGCGUGGAUAUCUGCCUUUUGGUUCGGAAUAACUCCGGGAAACUGGAGCUAAUACCGGAUGGUUCCUGCGGGAUAAAGAUUUAUCGCCAAAAGAUGAGUCCGCGUACGAUUAGCUAGUUGGUGAGGUAAUGGCUCGCCAAGGCGACGAUCGUUAGCUGGUCUGAGAGGACGAUCAGCCACACUGGGACUGAGACACGGCCCAGACUCCUACGGGAGGCAGCAGUGGGGAAUAUUGGACAAUGGGGGCAACCCUGAUCCAGCCAUGCCGCGUGAGUGAUGAAGGCCUUCGGGUUGUAAAGCUCUUUUGGCGGGGACGAUGAUGACGGUACCCGCAGAAUAAGCCCCGGCUAACUUCGUG